rnacentral:rRNA from 1 species
CAGUCGCCACGGUAAUACGAAGGGGGCUAGCGUUGUUCGGAUUAACUGGGCGUAAAGGGCGCGUAGGCGGGUUUUUAAGUCAGAGGUGAAAUCCCAAGGCUCAACCUUGGAGCUGCCUUUGAUACUGGAAGUCUUGAGUCCGGGAGAGGUGAGUGGAACUGCGAGUGUAGAGGUGAAAUUCGUAGAUAUUCGCAAGAACACCAGUGGCGAAGGCGGCUCACUGGCCCGGUACUGACGCUGAGGCGCGAAAGCGUGGGGAGCAAACAGGAUUAGAUACCCCCGUAGUCCCUGUCUCUUAUAC